rnacentral:rRNA from 1 species
GACGAACGCUGGCGGCGUGCUUAACACAUGCAAGUCGAACGGAAAGGCCCUGCUUUUGUGGGGUGCUCGAGUGGCGAACGGGUGAGUAACACGUGAGUAACCUGCCCUUGACUUUGGGAUAACUUCAGGAAACUGGGGCUAAUACCGGAUAGGAGCUCCUGCUGCAUGGUGGGGGUUGGAAAGUUUCGGCGGUUGGGGAUGGACUCGCGGCUUAUCAGCUUGUUGGUGGGGUAGUGGCUUACCAAGGCUUUGACGGGUAGCCGGCCUGAGAGGGUGACCGGGGACAGUGGGAGUGAGAUACGGCCCAGCCUGGUGCGGGAGGGAGCGGUGGGGACUGGUGGGCAAUGGGGGGAAGCGUGAUGCAGCAACGCCGCGUGCGGGAUGACGGGCUUCGGGUUGUAAACCGCAUUCGCCGGUGACGAGGCGUGAGUGACGGGAAUGGGUAAAGAAGCACAGGGUAAAUAAGUG